AGAUUGAACGCUGGCGGCAUGCCUUACACAUGCAAGUCGAACGCGAAAGGGGGGCAACCCCCGAGUAGAGUGGCGAACGGGUGAGUAAUACAUCGGAACGUAUCCAGUAGCGGGGGAUAACCUCUCGAAAGAGAGGCUAAUACCGCAUACGACCUACGGGUGAAAGAGGGGGAUCGCAAGACCUCUCACUAUUGGAGCGGCCGAUGUCGGAUUAGCUAGUUGGCGGGGUAACGGCCCACCAAGGCUACGAUCCGUAGCUGGUCUGAGAGGACGACCAGCCACACUGGAACUGAGACACGGUCCAGACUCCUACGGGAGCAGCAGUGGGAAUUGUUCGCAAUGGGCGCAAGCCUGACGACGCAACGCCGCGUGGAGGAUGAAGGUCUUCGGAUUGUAAACUCCUGUUGAUCGGACGAAAAGCUUCAACCUAAUACGUUGAGACUGACGUACCGGUUGAGGAAGCCACGGCUAACUCUGUGCCAGCAGCCGCGUAA
rnacentral:rRNA from 1 species